GUGUAAACUUGGUCACUAGCUCUGCAUGAUGUGGUAGAAGCUAAUGGAACCAGGUUUGCUAAAGUAAUUGUGGUGACAGUAAUGUAUUAGCUUCAGAAGCUACUGAGGUGGCCCAUUCUGUCCUAGUACAGUA
ensembl:snoRNA SNORA66 Small nucleolar RNA SNORA66